ACACAUGCAAGUCGAACGGGGUGACAAUACCUCAGUGGCGGACGGGUGAGUAAUACGUAGGGAUCUGCCCUUAAGUGGGGGAUAGCCCGGGGAAACCCGGAUUAAUACCGCAUGAACUCUUCGGAGCAAAGUGGGGGAUCGCAAGACCUCACGCUUUUGGAGGAACCUACGUCGGAUUAGCUUGUUGGUGGGGUAAUGGCUCACCAAGGCGACGAUCCGUAGCUGGUCUGAGAGGAUGAUCAGCCACACUGGGACUGAGACACGGCCCAGACUCCUACGGGAGGCAGCAGUGGGGAAUAUUGGACAAUGGGGGAAACCCUGAUCCAGCAAUGCCGCGUGUGUGGAGAAGGCCUUCGGGUUGUAAAGCACUUUAAGUUGGGAAGAAAAAGCCCACCCUAAUACGGUGUGCCUUGACGGUA
rnacentral:rRNA from 1 species